GCUCUUAUGGGUGGCGAGUGGCGGACGGGUGAGGAAUACAUCGGAAUCUACCUUUUCGUGGGGGAUAACGUAGGGAAACUUACGCUAAUACCGCAUACGACCUUCGGGUGAAAGCAGGGGACCUUCGGGCCUUGCGCGAUUGAAUGAGCCGAUGUCGGAUUAGCUAGUUGGCGGGGUAAAGGCCCACCAAGGCGACGAUCCGUAGCUGGUCUGAGAGGAUGAUCAGCCACACUGGAACUGAGACACGGUCCAGACUCCUACGGGAGGCAGCAGUGGGGAAUAUUGGACAAUGGGCGCAAGCCUGAUCCAGCCAUACCGCGUGGGUGAAGAAGGCCUUCGGGUUGUAAAGCCCUUUUGUUGGGAAAGAAAAGCAGCGGGCUAAUACCCAGCUGUUCUGACGGUACCCAAAGAAUAAGCACCGGCUAACUUCG
rnacentral:rRNA from 1 species